GCCUAAGGAUGGGUCUGCGGUCUAUCAGGUUGUAGUGGGUGUAAUGUACCUACUAGCCGACGACGGAUACGGGUUGUGAGAGCAAGAGCCCGGAGAUGGAUUCUGAGACACGAAUCCAGGCCCUACGGGGCGCAGCAGGCGCGAAAACUUUACAAUGCACGAAAGUGCGAUAAGGGGACCCCGAGUGUUGGUGCCUAGCAUCAACUGUCCAACUGUCUAAAAAACAGUUAUUAGCAAGAGCUGGGUAAGACCGGUGCCAGCCGCCGCGGUAACACCGGCGGCUCGAGUGGUGACCACUAUUAUUGGGUCUAAAGGGUUCGUAGCCGGCUUAGUAAGUUCUUUGGGAAAUCUGGCGGCUUAACCGUCAGGCUGCCGAGGGAUACUGUUAAGCUUGAGACCGGGAGGGGCUAGAGGUACCUCAGGGGUAGGGGUGAAAUCCUGUGAUCCCUGUGAGACCACCAGUGGCGAAGGCGUCUAGCUAGAACGGGUCUGACGGUGAUGAACGAAAGCUAGGGGCACGAACCGGAUUAGAUACCCGGGUAGUCCUAGCCGUAAACGAUGCGAGCUAGGUGUCACAGUAGCUGCGAGCUACUGUGGUGCCGUAGGGUGGCCAUGAAGCUCGCCACCUGGGAAGUACGGCCGCAAGGCUGAAACUUA
rnacentral:rRNA from 1 species